GGUGGAUACUUAAGCACCCAGAGAUGAGGAAGGGCGUAGUAAGCAAUGAAAUGCUUCGGGGAGUUAAAAAUAAUUGUAGAUCUGGAAAUUCUCGAAUAGACGAACUAAAACAUUUUAGUAGUCGGAGGAAAAGAAAGAAAAAAUAAUUUAUGUAGUAGUAGCAAGCAAAAUGGGAGUAGCCUAAACAGUGAAAACUGAGUUGUGGGAGAGCAAUAAAAGUGUCGUGUUGCUAGGCGAAGCGGUGAAGUGCCAAACUCUAGAUAGCGAUAGUCUAGUAACCGAAAGCAUUACUAGCUUACGCUUUGACCCGAGUAGCAUAGGGCACGUGGAAUCCUGUGUGAAUCAGUAAGGACCACCUUGCAAGGCUAAAUACUCUUAAAUGACCAAUAGCGAAAUAGUACCAUGAGGGAAGGGAGAAAAGAACCCCGGUGGAGGAGUGAAAUAGGACAUGUUCUC
rfam:Gossypium arboreum cultivar AKA8401 contig_13877_5, whole genome shotgun sequence.